rnacentral:rRNA from 1 species
GAUGAACGCUGGCGGCGUGCCUAAUACAUGCAAGUCGAGCGAACGGACGAGAAGCUUGCUUCUCUGCUGUUAGCGGCGGACGGGUGAGUAACACGUGGAUAACCUACCUAUAAGACUGGGAUAACUUCGGGAAACCGUAGCUAAUACCGGAUAAUAUUUUGAACCGCAUGGUUCAAAAGUGAAAGACGGUCUUGCUGUCACUUAUAGAUGGAUCCGCGCUGCAUUAGCUAGUUGGUAAGGUAACGGCUUACCAAGGCAACGAUGCAUAGCCGACCUGAGAGGGUGAUCAGCCACACUGGAACUGAGACACGGUCCAGACUCCUACGGGAGGCAGCAGUAGGGAAUCUUCCGCAAUGGGCGAAAGCCUGACGGAGCAACGCCGCGUGAGUGAUGAAGGUCUUCGGAUCGUAAAACUCUGUUAUUAGGGAAGAACAUAUGUGUAAGUAACUGUGCACAUCUUGACGGUACCUAAUCAGAAAGCCACGGCUAACUACGUG